rnacentral:lncRNA from 1 species
GCUGGUCUGGAUGCUUAUGUUGUUACUCGUGAAAUAUUAUUAUCUAUGUUAUCUACUUUUUUUUUUCUGUUCAGAUGUCUUGUUUACCUGGGAAACUCUGCCAUAAUUUUUGAUAAUUUUCAACCUUAGUAGACAAAUGGGCGAUGUUUGAUAGCCUCUAGCUAGUUGAAUUCAUAAUAAGGGUGUUACAUGGGCUACACCGAAUCCAAGCCAUGUCAGCCUGAUCUGUGUACAUAACUAUAGAUAGAUUAGUCCAAAAAGAAUUUAUUAUAUAUAUGUAUGCCGCAUAGGUGCAUCCAUGUACUAAAUAAUGCCUGUUCAAAGAUGUAUUUCAUCUCCCAAAUACCAAUUCCGGCUA